GGUAAAAUGGCUGAUAAAAGCAUUAGACUGUAAAUCUAAUAAUGUGGGUUAAAAUCCCCCUUUUACCA
rnacentral:tRNA from 1 species